UCCGGUUUGUCACCGGCAGUCUCCUAUGAGUCUCCUCUCCCCGCGACCAGGAUGUCAAAGGCUGGUAAGGUUCUGCGCGUUGCUUCGAAUUAAACCACAUGCUCCACCGCUUGUGCAGGCCCCCGUCAAUUCCUUUGAGUUUUAAUCUUGCGACCGUACUCCCCAGGCGGAUAACUUAAUGCGUUAGCUGCGCCACCCAAGCACCAUGUGCCCGGACAGCUAGUUAUCAUCGUUUACGGCGUGGACUAC
rnacentral:misc_RNA from 1 species